rnacentral:tRNA from 2 species
GCGGAUGUGGCGGAAUUGGCAGACGCGCUAGAUUUAGGUUCUAGUGCCGUAAGGCGUGAAGGUUCAAGUCCUUUCAUCCGCA